rnacentral:misc_RNA from 1 species
AUAUGAUCCUUUUGUAAUUUAUGGCCUAUUGAAUGUUGUUUUUUUUUUUUCCUUAAGAAAAAAAUGGGAGAAAUAAUACAGUAAAGAAUUAUUUCUAGUCCUUGUAAUUUUAAGGAAAAUUUGAACCAGAUCACAGUUUUUGAUUGAAAAUGGAGAUGGAUAAGCUUCUCUCUUGACUGACAGCAUCUGACAAGUUUGAUGUCUUUCUCUUGAUUUUCAGAAGGAUCCUAUAAGGGCAUUGAGGAUGACAACAUGGCAAGUAUUGUCAGAUGUUUGGAGGUGCAUUUCUUAGUUCAUGAAUAUUAAUUUUAUUGUUUGAUGUUAGGUUUUCUACGUAAGCUCAUGUUUGGGCAGAGUACCUGAUCAAAUAGUCCAAUUGAUUUUGUGAUGUCUGGUAAUAUUUUCACAUGAGACAAUAAUACUAUUUUUUCUAAGGAUUUUCAUGCAUGAUACAUGAAGUGUUUGUAAGUAAAUGCCUAAGAUUAAAAUGAGGAACUGAGGGCUCAACUAUCAGGUUGUCGAUUUGAUUCUUCAUUAGAGCAGGCAAGGGUUUGGGAUUUUACCAUGUAUGUUCUGGACAAUACUUCACAUCAUAUGUUUUAUCAUAGAUGGAAUCCAACCAGAAUCCCUCUAUUCCAGUUGCAGGUACCGAAAAAGAAAAAAAAUUGCAAUAGGCAUAGAACAUUCUCUUGUACAUGAUAUCUUUGACCCAUCAUGGUGCCCCAUGGUAGUUGAGUUUUCACUUGCAUUAGAAUAAUAUUGCCACUGUCAUGACUCAUAUACCUUGAAUCUGAAGUACAUUGUCUGCUGCCUGUAAUUUUUUAAAUGCUAUACUAGCAAGCAAACCAUUUUUGUCUACUGUUUUUGUUCGACAUUGUGGAUUGACAUAUUUCCCAUAGAUAACAUGAUUUUUUUUAAUUUUGUUUGGAUC